AUACGAAGGGUGCAAGCGUUAAUCGGAAUUACUGGGCGUAAAGCGCGCGUAGGUGGUUUUGUAAGUUGGAGGUGAAAGCCCCGGGCUCAACCUGGGAAUUGCCUCCAAAACUGCAUGACUAGAGUACGGUAGAGGGUAGUGGAAUUUCCUGUGUAGCGGUGAAAUGCGUAGAUAUAGGAAGGAACACCAGUGGCGAAGGCGACUACCGGGACUGAUACUGACACUGAGGUGCGAAAGCGUGGGGAGCAAACAGGAUUAGAUACCCGGGUAGUCCACGCCGUAAACGAUGUCAACUAGCCGUUGGGAUCCUUGAGAUCUUAGUGGCGCAGCUAACGCAUUAAGUUGACCGCCUGGGGAGUACGGCCGCAAGGUUAAAACUCAAAUGAAUUGACGGGG
rnacentral:rRNA from 1 species